GACCUCCUGGGAUCAUGUCUGGAGAGUGCUUAGUAUUCUGCCAGCUUCACAAAGUGAGGGAAAGCAAGCCUGGCAAGGCACUCUUUCCAUUCCCAGCUUGCUCAGUAACGGGUGAUUGGAAGACACUCUGUGACAGUG
ensembl:snoRNA